UGUGGAAGGAGCUUCUAUUUUUGAGCCUUCGUCAAAUUCGGCCUUCGGGAUUUGAGUGGCUUUCGUAGAAGAACCCACUUCCCAAAAUGGAGCAAACAGCAAGCCAGAAAAGCACUGCUUCGUUUGUUGGUUUGUUUAGUGGUGCUGAUAGAGUUGACUAUGUGCUUAUGUUCUUUGGAAGUGUUGGGACGUGCGUCCAUGGGGCUGCACUUCCUGUUUUCUUUGUUUUGUUUGGUCGUAUGAUUGAUUCUUUGGGACAUUUAUUCUAAGAAUCCCCGUCAAUUAUCUUCGCACGUUUUAGAGAAUGCUUUGUACUUGAUUUAUCUUGGACUGAUAGUAAUGGCCUCAGCGUGGAUAGGUGUGGCAUCGUGGCUUUGUUGAUGGCUUUGUUGAAAAUGACGUUAGUGCAGUUCUCACAACCUUGAGUAACAGUACAAGUCCAGAGUCCAAAGCUCUGGUUACUGUUCUGAAAUUUGGUAUGGAAGCAUUUGCUGUGGUUCCUUUACGUAGAAAAUUGGGGCAUCAUGAGUGUGUGCAGUGCCGGAUCAGGAGGCCUUUUACUGUUUCUGAAGUGGAGGCAUUGGUUCGGGCGGUUGAGAAGCUUAGAACUGGAAGGCUAUUGUUUGCUGCUGCAAGAUUUGGAGUUUAGGCAUUCACAGGGACAGCAGAAAAAUUGGAGCGAACUGCAUUGGACUUUUGACAUCUCCAUCAUCUUCGGUGUAUAAAACUGGGUUCUCCAAGUGGCUGAGAAGCACGAAUCCCGACCAUCUGAUGCCGAAGGCUUAGUUGAUUAAUGAAUCUCCGGAGCCAAAAACAAGCUGUACUAGGUUCUCUAUGGAUUCCGGCCGGCCAAUGGCGGAUUCCGGCGACUGUUGACGACGCUUUUUCGCUGCCCACC